rnacentral:tRNA from 1 species
GGGGCUGUAGCUCAGUGGCAGAGCACUUGCCUAGCAUGCACGUGGCACUGGGUUCAAUCCCCGGCACCA